GAUGAACGCUGGCGGCGUGCCUAAUACAUGCAAGUCGAGCGAAUGGAUUAAGAGCUUGCUCCUAUGAAGUUAGCGGCGGACGGGUGAGUAACACGUGGGUAACCUGCCCAUAAGACUGGGAUAACUCCGGGAAACCGGGGCUAAUACCGGAUAACAUUUUGAACCGCAUGGUUCGAAAUUGAAAGGCGGCUUCGGCUGUCACUUAUGGAUGGACCCGAGUCGCAUUAGCUAGUUGGUGAGGUAAUGGCUGACCAAGGCAACGAUGCGUAGCCGACCUGAGAGGGUGAUCGGCCACACUGGGAAUGAGACACGGCCCAGACUCCUACGGGAGGCAGCAGUAGGGAAUCUUCCGCAAUGGACGAAAGUCUGACGGAGCAACGCCGCGUGAGUGAUGAAGGCUUUCGGGUCGUAAAACUCUGUUGUUAGGGAAGAACAAGUGCUAGUUGAAUAAGCUGGCACCUUGACGGUACCUAACCAGAAAGCCACGGCUAACUACGUGCCAGCCGCCGCCGUAA
rnacentral:rRNA from 1 species